CCGCUGUGAGUAUUUCAUCAGGUACUGGUGUCAUAUUAUUACCAGUACCUGUGUCAUAUUCGCCGUGU
rnacentral:pre_miRNA from 1 species